rnacentral:lncRNA from 1 species
AAGUGACUGUAGGUUUAGAUGAAUGGAAAAUGAACUUGCCAGUUCACAGCUAUGUCCUUCCCAAUUUAGGAGGUUAAGGGCAGGAAAAACAUGAGAAACUCUUUUGAGAAGCUGCACAAGCUGACAUGGAGGAUCAAGGAUUUCAAAAGCUUUGAAUAUAAAGAGGUGUCAGACUUACAUCAGAGCCUGAGACUUGACAUGCCUAUUUUUGCACUCGCUCAUUUUUCAAAUUUCAUAGGCAUUGCUCCCUCCAAAUCACCGCUCUUCUAAUUUUAUCCUGGAGUGUGCAUCCCAGAAGACAUAAGCUGACACAAUUGGGAACUGAAGUUGCUUGAAAAAGCUGGUGGUAAGAUUAGACUCUAGACAGCUUAUACGUAUUUGGACAAGGCAACGUGAUGAAGAAAUAAUAUAAUUGUAGGAUCACCUCUGUCCAGUAGCUGUUAUCCAACAUCUGCAUACUUAGAUUUCUGGAGAGCCCUAUGCCUUCACAAGAACAAGUUCCCACACCAGGGUCAAGAAGGAAACCGUAAGUCAAGACAAAAGUGCCCAGUGAAGGCAGAAGAUGAGGGGUCUCAGGUUGCAUCUUCGGAGGCACGAGGAUUCAAAGGUGAACAAAGCACACAGUACAUCAUUUGAUGUGGUAAGUUUCAUGGACAUAGAAGUAAGGGGGAUGAAAUGUCGAGGUGUGUGUGGCGGGGGAGGAGGGGAAUUCAAAUGAUAUUCUGAUCAUUAAAUAAACUUGAAACAAACUUGGAAAGGUGAAGUAAAACAGCAGCCAUUUUCCUGACACUCAAGGAUUGCUUCUGCAGGUGGAGAAAACGACAGCUUCAGAUAUUCUAUGAUGUACAGAUGCCAUUUAUCAAAUUCUUUGAUUUCAAGUAAUAAUGGUGUUGGUGCAGCCAGAGUUGCAAAAGAGGACUGUUGAUUCCAACACAGUCUCAAAGAUGGUUGAAUUAUGUGCUUCUACUAAUGUGUCUGUUAUUCUGGAGCCCAUAUUUGGAAACCCAGUCUAAAAAAUGCAUCUUAAUCCCUAUCUAUGAUUUUGAAACCAUUUAAUUAUUUACUUCUCCAUAUGUCUGAAGGCAGUACUACACAUUGGAAGUUUGAGGAAAUAGGAUACUUAAAUAUUUAUUUAAGAUAAUUGAAGAGUAAUUAGUCCAGGGAAAGAUUAUAGGAUUCCCUAGAGGUAUAGGGCCUACUGGAGGUGAUCAAAUUAAAAUGAAGUCAUUCAUAAUGAUUUUUUUUCACUAGUCCUCUCAUGCCUGCAUGAUGAGAAGAUAUGAACAAGUAAAUAAUUGGACUUAACCUGUGCUUUUCCUACUUGCAUAAAAUGAGGAUGUUAAUGGGAAUUGUGGAUAUGUGAAAGAUGAAGAUUAUGAUGAUAGGCCACAGAAUUUAAGUUUAGUAAAAUGGAAAGUGAGAGCAUUUGGUGGUUAGAGAGUAAAAAGGUAGUAGAAACCAUGGUUUGGACAAGGCAAUUAAAUAGGAGUGAAGUAGAGCAAAUAAAAGGAAACACUAUUAAGGCAGAAGGUUGAUACUAUAGAAUUCUGAGAUAAUAAUCAACUAUUGUUUGGAAAUAAAAUUUGUUUAUAUUUA